CAGUAGCCGCGGUAAUACGUAGGUGGCAAGCGUCGUCCGGAAUUAUUGGGCGUAAAGGGCUCGCAGGCGGUUUCUUAAGUCUGAUGUGAAAGCCCCCGGCUCAGCCGGGGAGGGUCACUGGAAACUGGGAAACUUGAGUGCAGAAGAGGAGAGUGGAAUUCCACGUGUAGCGGUGAAAUGCGUAGAGAUGUGGAGGAACACCAGUGGCGAAGGCGACUCUCUGGUCUGUAACUGGCGCUGAGGAGCGAAAGCGUGGGGAGCGAACAGGAUUAGAGACCCCAGUAGUCCCUGUCUCUUAUAC
rnacentral:rRNA from 1 species